UCCCACUAGGUAGGACGAGCAAGGACCAAUCAGAAGUAUAAUUGCCAGCCUGGUAAUUCGUGGGGAACAGAACUCUUGUGCUGUAUAAGGGCACAGACUUGAAGAAACAACAUGUUGUCCAGCCAUUUCAGCUUGCAGUUAUAUGAUGAAUCAGCAGUUGAAAGUUAUUUUAUCCAGUUCUGCACCUCAAACUAUGUUCUGCUUGGGAAGGUCCCAACGGUGCCCACUGUCAUGUGAAGGAUCAGGAAAAGAAAAUCUAGUUGUUUCCUCAACUCGUAUGGUUCUGGGAGUCCCACUCCAUGCUCAGGCUGCUUCCCGACGGUUGGUCUCUAAGUGGAGACUGAAAUCACUUGGAUUCCUGUGAGAUACCGAGGGGAGAAGGAGCUACUGGAGGGGAAAGUGGCCAAUACUAUAACAUCUGGCACCGCAGUUGCUGGGAAAUAGAAAUCCAACGACUCAGUUCUUCUCAGACAUAAAGUUGUGAUUAACCAGUGUUACUGUGUAUCCCAAUGUGGGUGUUGGACUGGGACCGCUAAUUCUUAUGUGAAGAGAAGAUGAAUUGGAUGAUUUUGUUCCUAAUAAAAAAAGUCAGCCAA